rnacentral:rRNA from 1 species
AUGCAAGUCGAGCGGUAACAGGGGGAGCUUGCUUCCCGCUGACGAGCGGCGGACGGGUGAGUAAUGCUUAGGAAUCUGCCCAGUAGUGGGGGAUAGCCCGGGGAAACCCGGAUUAAUACCGCAUACGUCCUACGGGAGAAAGCAGGGGAUCUUCGGACCUUGCGCUAUUGGAUGAGCCUAAGUCGGAUUAGCUAGUUGGUGGGGUAAAGGCCUACCAAGGCGACGAUCCGUAGCUGGUCUGAGAGGAUGAUCAGCCACAUCGGGACUGAGACACGGCCCGAACUCCUACGGGAGGCAGCAGUGGGGAAUAUUGGACAAUGGGGGCAACCCUGAUCCAGCCAUGCCGCGUGUGUGAAGAAGGCUUUCGGGUUGUAAAGCACUUUCAGUAGGGAGGAAAACCUUAUGGCUAAUACCCAUGAGGCUUGACGUUACCUACAGAAGAAGCACCGGCUAACUCCGUGCCAGCAGCCGCGGUAAUACGGAGGGUGCAAGCGUUAAUCGGAAUUACUGGGCGUAAAGCGCGCGUAGGUGGUUUGGUAAGCGAGAUGUGAAAGCCCCGGGCUUAACCUGGGAACGGCAUUUCGAACUGUCAGACUA